AAAUUGAAGAGUUUGAUCAUGGCUCAGAUUGAACGCUGGCGGCAGGCCUAACACAUGCAAGUCGAACGGUAACAGGAAGCAGCUUGCUGCUUUGCUGACGAGUGGCGGACGGGUGAGUAAUGUCUGGGAAACUGCCUGAUGGAGGGGGAUAACUACUGGAAACGGUGGCUAAUACCGCAUAACGUCGCAAGACCAAAGAGGGGGACCUUCGGGCCUCUUGCCAUCAGAUGUGCCCAGAUGGGAUUAGCUUGUUGGUGAGGUAACGGCUCACCAAGGCGACGAUCCCUAGCUGGUCUGAGAGGAUGACCAGCCACACUGGAACUGAGACACGGUCCAGACUCCUACGGGAGGCAGCAGUGGGGAAUAUUGCACAAUGGGCGCAAGCCUGAUGCAGCCAUGCCGCGUGUAUGAAGAAGGCCUUCGGGUUGUAAAGUACUUUCAGCGGGGAGGAAGGUGUUGUGGUUAAUAACCGCAGCAAUUGACGUUACCCGCAGAAGAAGCACCGGCUAACUCCGUGCCAGCAGCCGCGGUAAUACGGAGGGUGCAAGCGUUAAUCGGAAUUACUGGGCGUAAAGCGCACGCAGGCGGUCUGUCAAGUCGGAUGUGAAAUCCCCGGGCUCAACCUGGGAACUGCAUUCGAAACUGGCAGGCUUGAGUCUUGUAGAGGGGGGUAGAAUUCCAGGUGUAGCGGUGAAAUGCGUAGAGAUCUGGAGGAAUACCGGUGGCGAAGGCGGCCCCCUGGACAAAGACUGACGCUCAGGUGCGAAAGCGUGGGGAGCAAACAGGAUUAGAUACCCUGGUAGUCCACGCCGUAAACGAUGUCUACUUGGAGGUUGUGCCCUUGAGGCGUGGCUUCCGGAGCUAACGCGUUAAGUAGACCGCCUGGGGAGUACGGCCGCAAGGUUAAAACUCAAAUGAAUUGACGGGGGCCCGCACAAGCGGUGGAGCAUGUGGUUUAAUUCGAUGCAACGCGAAGAACCUUACCUGGUCUUGACAUCCACGGAAGUUUU
rnacentral:rRNA from 1 species